rnacentral:rRNA from 1 species
GACGAACGCUGGCGGCGUGCUUAACACAUGCAAGUCGAACGGAAAGGCCCUGCUUUUGUGGGGUGCUCGAGUGGCGAACGGGUGAGUAACACGUGAGUAACCUGCCCUUGACUUUGGGAUAACUUCAGGAAACUGGGGCUAAUACCGGAUAGGAGCUCCUGCUGCAUGGUGGGGGUUGGAAAGUUUCGGCGGUUGGGGAUGGACUCGCGGCUUAUCAGCUUGUUGGUGGGGUAGUGGCUUACCAAGGCUUUGACGGGUAGCCGGCCUGAGAGGGUGACCGGCAACAUGGGGACGGGGAAACGCCCAGACUCCUACGGGAGGCAGCAGUGGGGAAUAUUGCACAAUGGGCGGAAGCCUGAUGCAGCAACGCCGCGUGCGGGAUGACGGCCUUCGGGUUGUAAACCGCUUUCGCCUGUGACGAAGCGUGAGUGACGGUAAUGGGUAAAGAAGCACCGGCUAACUACGUG